AUGUCACAUAUUUGUGUAGUUAUUCCACAUAUCCAUCAUUUUGAUUCUUUUGUGGCAAAGGAAAAGACUGAAAGAAACUUUAAUUUUAUUGCUUGCUUCAGAGUCGUUUCUCCACUCACGCUGGUUAUCACACUCUCUCUCACGCAUCGCAGGCAUGAUGAUUUGGAGCAUUUUUGGGUGUCUGAGGGAAAGAGCAUUGGAGUCGUGACCGUAAGCAGGGUGAUGGUUUCAGUAUAAAUGCUGUUCAGCACUGGCGUGUGUGUGUGUGUGUGGGUGGCUGGGGAGGGCUGGUCUGGGAGAACUGCCAAUCUGUCGUCACCUUCAAAAAACAGAGCAGUUUCCCUGAUUUCCAGUCAGUCACUGGGCAUGGAUUCCCCACGCAGUCAUCCACCCCCUCACUUUCAUCCUGGAGCACGCACUCACCCACGUCACAGCAAUAUAUGACAAUGCACUUCCCAGCUAAAUUAAGUUUCAGGGGAAUAAAUCAAAAGGAACUGUGCCUGUGCAUUGUGGGUUGGUUGAACGUGGUGUGUGUUAUGGGGGUGGCAGAGUGCGUUUGAGCACCAACAUAAAGGCUUGGUUCUGACCUACAAGGAGAAUCUUUCCAUUAGCAUCCCUGUUCAUCUCAAGGGCAGUUGCUUGGCUGGACUGUGCCAUGCUAACCAACCAAAACUUGGUCUGUUCAGACAAUAAUUUCUUUUGGCAUAUUUGACUCUCAUUCAUUUAUUUUAGUCUGUACCACAAAAAAAAAAGGAAAAGAAAAAGAGUAUAAGAAAUUUGCUAUUCACAAUCUUUAUCCAAAACACACUACUGUUCAAAAGUUUUGUAUGAAUUCUCACCAAGGCUGCGUUUAUUUAAAGGGAUACUCCACCCCAAAAUGAAAAUUUUGUCAUUAAUCACUUACCCCCAUAAAAACCCGUAAAAGCUUCGUUCGUCUUCGUAACACAAUUUAAGAUAUUUUGGAUGAAAACCAGGAGGCCUGUGACUGUCCCAUUGACUGCCAAGUAAAUAACAG
rnacentral:lncRNA from 1 species